UUCCAAACAGGAGCACGGAUGUCCAGGGU
rnacentral:piRNA from 1 species